UAAAUGAUUGAACUAAUGCUUGAAAUAGUACGGUCUUUAAGCGUAAAUUUUUAUAUACAGAAUGUUUACGAUUAAUUUUAGAACGCUUCUAAGCCCUUUAGUCAAGAGAUAUAUACAAGUAUAGCAUAAUCUUAACUUAGUUUAUUUUAGGUUUGAAGCCAAACAGCUAAGGGCACAGGAAGUAAGAUAAGAAGUGUAGCGAUAAAAGCUUCUACGUCACCCCACCAUGCACUUAGCCUAAGCUAGUUGAAUUUUAGAAAUAUGCCGAAGAAAGAAAUUUUCGUGAAGACAUCAAAAACGUGCCGCAUGCGAUAAUAUCGAAAAAUUUAAGAAUCGUCGUUUUGGCAUCAGAGAGAUAGCAAAGGAUCUCAACUUCAUUUACGGAUCCCUUCAACACAUUUUGGUUAUGAAGCGGUUCAAUGCUAGACUCGUUUCAAAAGACCUGAAUAUUUUGCAAAGACUACGUCGCAGUGAUGCUUGACAACGUAGCUGAGGACCCUAUGUUCAUCAAACGUUAUUUACUGGUGACGAGACAUGGGUUUAUGAAUAUGACGUCGAAACUGUCUAACAAUGUAUCGAAUGGAGCUUAAAAAAUUGAUUUACGACACUUUAAAAAUUACCUAAAAUUCAGGUCUCUAGACAAACCGCUCGAGACUACCGCUUAAUAAGCUGAAUUUUAAAAAAUUUGCCACUUUCACAAUUAAUGUAUAUUAAAUAAAAUUCAUAUAGUUUUGGAUAUGUUUUAACGACAAGUA